GCCCCGCAGUCUGAUCUAGAUGAUACAUGAUCUGCGCGGAUGGAACUCCGAGUACUUGGAUGCUUCAUGUGCGAUCUAUGAUGCCCGUCAAUGAUUUCCUAAUUGACAUGUUUGGAGACAUUAAGAUGUGGGCGUUUAGAGGUCCCUUCGAAGGUUACGGGAAAUUUUUGCACGGAUAUCUUUCAGGCUGGUUCCAAAGUAGUUUUGAAGACUUCAACAUAUCCCAACAAGAGGAAUGUUGCGUAUGGUACUAUUCGUAGUACCGAUCCAAGAACUAAGACGUGUGGUAUUGAGUUAGGUGCUGAAUUUGCCCUCGUGCGCAUAGAUCAACCUUUGCUUGAUAAUGAGGAGUUGGUAAGGGAAGUUUCUGAUUGCAAGACAAUUGGUGAAGCAUUCUUUUCAGGAUACUUAAUUGCAUGGCCUUCUGCUUUUAUUCGAGAGAAGGAUAAUUGAGUUACGGUUGAAUUCUUGGAUGCGGAAGCAAAUAAAAUCUAAAGAUUUUAUCUACCAAUAGUCGUAGUUUACAUUGAUAGACUGAAAAAAUGUAAUAUGACCCACAAGAUCUUUUUCUUUCGUCCAGUUGAUGCAAAUUCUAUGGUGUAAUAUUCUUCAUAGUUGUGUUUUCUAUGCUCAAAAUGAUAUGAAUGAUAUCUUUAUUGUAAUGCAUAUGUAUCAUACACUUGUAUAUUCUUAAUUAGUAUCUUCACAUUGAGGAUUUC